rnacentral:lncRNA from 10 species
UCAUUUUAAUAAUAUUAAUUAUUUUAAUCCAUGAGCAUGGGAUGUUUUUCCAUUUGUUUCUGUCCUUUUCAAUUACUUUCAAAAGGGUUUUGUAAUUUUCAUUGUAAAGGGCUUUCACUUCGAGAUCUGAGAGACCAAAAUAAAUGUCCCUUUGUCAACUAAGAUGAAUCCUAAGCUUAAGGAUACAAAAGUUGCCUGUGGUCUGAGGGUUCACGGUUCAGCGUUCAGGGAUCAGCUGGCAUGGCAACUGUCUCAAUUCCUACGGCUACAAGAAAAAACACACCU